UGCAAGUCAGUUCUGGGCUUCACUGCACGCUCAGGACCAGUGACCUUCAGUCUCCCAAUGACACUCGCUGGCACACCGCACGAGGACCUUCUCACAACAUCGACGGGAACGGGCUCCCUGUGUGUUUGCUGCGAAGCCGCGCUUUCCCUGCCUCCCACAUGUUCAUAGAGACUCUCCAGCAAGCACUUCUUCGGUGCAAGACCACAAUGACCACAAAAGU
rnacentral:RNase_MRP_RNA from 1 species